rnacentral:rRNA from 1 species
GACGAACGCUGGCGGCGUGCUUAACACAUGCAAGUCGAACGGUAAGGCCCUUCGGGGUACACGAGUGGCGAACGGGUGAGUAACACGUGGGUGAUCCGCCCUGCACUUCGGGAUAAGCCUGGGAAACUGGGUCUAAUACCGGAUAGGACUCCUGGCUUCAUGGUUGGGGGUGGAAAGCUUUUGCGGUGUGGGAUGGGCCCGCGGCCUAUCAGCUUGUUGGUGGGGUAAUGGCCUACCAAGGCGACGACGGGUAGCCGGCCUGAGAGGGUGACCGGUCACACUGGGACUGGGAUACGGCCCAGACUCCUACGGGAGGCAGCAGUGGGGAAUAUUGCACAAUGGGCGCAAGCCUGAUUCAGCGACGCCGCGUGAGGGAUGACGGCCUUCGGGUUGUAAACCUCUUUCAGCUAUGACGAAGCGCAAGUGACGGUAGUAGCAGAAGAAGGACCGGCCAACUACGUGCCAGCAGCCGCCGUAA